GUAUAGUAUCCCGUAAGGGAAGUGAACCCGGUGAACUGAAACAUCUAAGUAGCCGGAGGAAGAGAAAACAAAAGUGAUUCCGGGAGUAGUGGCGAGCGAAACCGGAUUAGCCCAAACCAGUGUUGUUUCGGCAAUACUGGGGUUGUAGGACCACGACAUUGAUUGCGUAAUGAAUUAGAACACUUUGGAAAGAGUGACCGAAGAGGGUGAUAGUCCCGUACAAGUAAAGAGCGUUAAUUAUAGUGGUAUCCUGAGUAGUGCGGGGCACGUGAAACCCUGUAUGAAUCAAGCGGGACCAUCCGUUAAGGCUAAAUACUCCUGAGAGACCGAUAGUGAACCAGUACCGUGAGGGAAAGGUGAAAAGAACCCUGAAUAAGGGAGUGAAAAAGAUCCUGAAACCAUACGCUUACAAGCGGUCGGAGCCCGUAAGGGGUGACGGCGUGCCUUUUGCAUAAUGAGCCUACGAGUUACUUUUACUAGCAAGGUUAAGCACUUCAGGUGCGGAUCCGUAGCGAGAGCGAGUCUGAAUAGGGCGACCAUAGUUAGUAGUAGUAGACGCGAAACCGUGUGAUCUACCCAUGGGCAGGUUGAAGCUUUGUUAACCC
rnacentral:rRNA from 1 species